rnacentral:rRNA from 1 species
GACGUCAAAUCAUCAUGCCCCUUAUGAUUUGGGCUACACACGUGCUACAAUGGACAAUACAAAGGGCAGCGAAACCGCGAGGUCAAGCAAAUCCCAUAAAGUUGUUCUCAGUUCGGAUUGUAGUCUGCAACUCGACUACAUGAAGCUGGAAUCGCUAGUAAUCGUAGAUCAGCAUGCUACGGUGAAUACGUUCCCGGGUCUUGUACACACCGCCCGUCACACCACGAGAGUUUGUAACACCCGAAGCCGGUGGAGUAACCUUUUAGGAGCUAGCCGUCGAAGGUGGGACAAAUGAUUGGGGUGAAGUCGUAACAAGGUAGCCGUAUCGGAAGGUGCGGCUGGAUCACCUCCUUU